rnacentral:rRNA from 1 species
AUUUUGGACAAUGGGGGAAACCCUGAUCCAGCAAUGCCGCGUGUGUGAAGAAGGCCUUCGGGUUGUAAAGCACUUUUGUCCGGAAAGAAAUCAUUCCCACUAAUACUGGGAGUGGAUGACGGUGCCGGAAGAAUAAGCACCGGCUAACUACGUGCCAGCAGCCGCGGUAAUACGUAGGGUGCAAGCGUUAAUCGGAAAUACCGGGCGUAAAGCGUGCGCAGGCGGUGCGCUAAGACAGAUGUGAAAUCCCCGGGCUUAACCUGGGAACUGCAUUUGUGACUGGCGGGCUAGAGUAUGGCAGAGGGGGGUAGAAUUCCACGUGUAGCAGUGAAAUGCGUAGAGAUGUGGAGGAAUACCGAUGGCGAAGGCAGCCCCCUGGGCCAAUACUGACGCUCAUGCACGAAAGCGUGGGGAGCAAACA